rnacentral:lncRNA from 1 species
AGGCAGUAAAACUUCUGGGCAAGGCUGCACAAAGCCCUGAAACAGCCGCAGAGAAAGGUGAUGCAACCACGAGGCUGCUCUUCACACCAGCACAUAGAAGAAACAGUAUCCCAGGGGGCACUGAGCUACUUUCCCUGAAGAUUUGUGAAAGCAUUUUGUAGAAAGGAAUUAUUUUCCUCUGAAAUGCAACCACCUCUGYGGACAACAGCUGCAGAACUGCUCAGCCCAUCAGUGUGGGACAGAGGGACGGAGGACACCGAGCUAAGGGAUUAUGGAGACCUGGUGUUGUUCACACCAGCCRGGGGAAGUAUCUUGGUGCUUCUGGACUAGAAAUUGCUUCAGAGCAAACUCCGUUAAAUCUUUGCUAACGUGACAGGCUUCUUUAGACGUCCCUGAGAGGUGCAGAGGC